UCAGUCGGCGUGUAGAACGUUGGCGGGAUCUCGCUCCGACGGCCCUGGGGGAUGCUGGACAUAACGACACUGCUUCUGGCGGCUGUUGUGGUCGCAGUGUCUGCGAGCAUCAUCUCCAGGAAAUGGCGCUGGAGGCAGGUCGAAAAGCUUCCUGGCCUCGUAGCCCUGCCUUUUAUAGGGACUACGUACAUCGCAUUCCUUACGAAGCGAGAGGAUCGGAUGCGCAAAUUUGACGAGGUGAUCAAGAGGUUCGGUCCAAUCUUCCGGUCCUGGAUUGGACCGUACCCAUCGAUAAUGAUCCAAAAACCAGAAUACCUAGAGAAAAUAAUGUCCAGCAGCGAGUUAAUUGAGAAGUCCACCUUCUACUCAUUCCUGUACCCUUGGCUGGGAGAAGGUCUCCUCACCAGCUCAGGUUCCAAGUGGCAUAUGCAUCGUAAAAUGAUUACACCUGCUUUCCACUUCCGUAUAUUAGACAACUUCGUCGAAAUAUUUGCUGAAAAUGGGGAGGUCCUAGUAGAGAAACUGAAACCUAAAGCUAAUGGAAAGACGUUCGAUAUCUACCCAUUCAUUACACGCUGUGCCCUGGACAUCAUAUGUGAAACAGCAAUGGGAACUUCAGUCAACGCCCAGAAUGAGACACAAUCUGCUUACGUCAACGCCAUUUACAGUAUCAGCGAGCUCACCAUAAAAAGAAUGAUUAAACCAUGGUUGCACACUGAAUUCAUUUUUAAAAGGAGUUCAACAGGAAAAGAGUUCUACAAACAGCUGAAUAUCUUACACGGCUUUACAAAGAAGGUAAUACGCGAAAGGAAGUCAGCCCGUAAAACGAAUGUAGCCCAGAUCCAGGCACCACAGGAAGACGACAUAGGUAGGAAGCGACGUGUGGCUUUUCUGGACAUGUUGUUGGACGCUUCUGAGAACGGCCAGAAACUUAACGACCAGGAGCUGCAGGAGGAAGUGGACACCUUCAUGUUUGAGGGCCACGACACGACGUCGGUUGCCAUGUCAUGGGUUCUUAUGCUGCUGGGACAUCAUCCUGGUAUCCAAGAGAAAGUCUUCGCUGAGCUGGAUGACAUAUUUCGAGACGAUCCUAAGAGACGUCCAACUACUCAUGAUCUGAACAACAUGAAGUACCUCGAGAUGGUCAUCAAGGAAGCGCUGAGACUGUACCCGAGUGUGCCUGCCAUCGGCCGCCGAGCGACGAAAGACAUCGAAAUUGGUAGCUACAAAAUUCCUGAGGGCUGCCUGAUAACCCUCAACAUCCGGCACACUCACCGCGACCCCGACCACUGGCCGGACCCGGAGCGCUUCGACCCGGAAAACUUCCUGCCGGAGAGGGUGCAGGGCAGGCACCCCUUCGCCUACGUGCCCUUCAGCGCUGGGCCCCGAAACUGCAUAGGCCAGAAGUUCGCCAUCCUGGAGGAGAAGACGGUGCUGUCGUACGUGCUGCGCAACUUCCGCGUGGAGACGGUGGACAGGCUGGAGGACCUCCAGCUGAUCGGCGAGCUCGUCCUCAGGCCCAUGAACGGCGUCAACCUCAGGCUGCGGCCGCGGUAGCGCAGAGUCUGCGGCGGCGCUUCUUCCUGUCUCUUGCUCGGUCCGGCAACAGCGCAGCGCUUUGCGCCUCACUUAUUCAUCAAGUGACCUGAACAUUAUAAUAAGUGACAAUACAUAGCCAACACGCUGCCCGUGAAACUCACCGUACUCUACAAGACGUGCAAUAACUUGCAUGGCCAGCACAAUCUCCGCAGUUGUCUCCAAACGACCACAUGUGGGAUAUGACGAGACAAGAAGUGACUCAUGCGAUCCAU